rnacentral:rRNA from 1 species
UUAAAGUUUGAUUUGUUCUUUAUUCCUUGUAUUCAGUAUUGAAGUUGUAUGAGAGUCGGGACAGGUAAGUUAAAAAGGAUUUAAAAUUUUAUACCAUCAGCCAGUAUUUGUACAAUAUACGGUAAUUCUCAGCAUAUAAUAUUAGACAAUUUAGUAAAUUAAGAUCUAGCAAUACUUUAAAACUUGAUUAAUAUUGUGCCAGCAGUCGCGGUUAUACUUUAAAGUUAAAUAAGGAAAAAAGUUGGUUUACUGUUAGGCGAAGAUAAUUGAUAAAAGUCUGGGAGAAUAAAAGAGUGAAAUCAGAUUUUCUUUUGCAGAGCUAAAACAUUAACCGAUUAAAGCUGAGGCAGUAAAAUAUUGGGCAUAAACUAGGAUUAGAUACCCUAUUAUACCAGAAAAUAAUUUAACCAAACUAAAGUAAUAAUAGCUAUGUUCUAAAAAUUUGAAGAAUUUGGCGGUGAUUUAGUCUAGUCAGAGGAACCUGUUUUUGAAUCGAUAAACCACGAAAAAUCUUACUUAGGUUUGUAAAGUAUGUAUACCAUCAUUAUUAGGUAAUUUUUAUAGAAUUAAUUACUGAAUAUUUGUUAAUAGCGUUAAAUAUAUUAGAUCAAGGUGCAGCUCAUGCUUAAGUUAAAAUGGGUUACAAUAAAAUUUAUUUAUACGAAAUUAUAAUUUAAAUAUUAUUAAGAAGGAGGAUUUGAUUGUAAAGUUAGUUUAACAUGCUAGUUAGAUAUAAGCUCUAAAUCAUGUACAUAUCGCCCGUCGCUUUCAUUUUUAAAUGAGAUAAGUCGUAACAUAGUAGAUUUACUGGAAAGUGAAUCUGGAUAGGAAA